rnacentral:tRNA from 1 species
UCCCCUGUAGCUCAACUGGCAGAGCAUUCGGCUGUUAACCGAACGGUUGAAGGUUCGAGUCCUUCCGGGGGAG